UCCGUAGGGUGCGAGCGUUAAUCGGAAUUACUGGGCGUAAAGCGCGCGCAGGCGGUCUUCCAAGUCAGUGGUGAAAGCCCGGAGCUCAACUCCGGAACUGCCAUUGAAACUGUUAGACUCGAGGAUGAGAGAGGUGAGUGGAAUUCCCAGUGUAGAGGUGAAAUUCGUAGAUAUUGGGAAGAACACCGGUGGCGAAGGCGGCUCACUGGCUCAUUACUGACGCUCAGGCGCGAUAGCGUGGGGAUCAAACAGG
rnacentral:rRNA from 1 species